CUUUACUAUAACUUAACAUUGGUAACGUUUAUAUGAUGUGUAGGAUAGGUGGGAGACUAUGAAGCCUUGGCGCUAGCCAGGGCAGAGUCGUCCUUGAAAUACCACCCUUCGUGUACAUGUUACCUCAUCUUUAUGAAUAAAGAGACAGUGUUUGGUGGGUAGUUUGACUGGGGUGGUCGCCUCCAAAAAUGUAACGGAGGCUUUCAAAGGUACCCUCAGCACGGAUGGUAAUCGUGCGUAGAGCGUAAUAGCAUAAGGGUGCUUGACUGUGAGACCUACAAGUCGAGCAGGGUCGAAAGACGGAUAUAGUGAUCCGGUGGUUUCUGUAUGGAAAGGCCAUCGCUUAAAGGAUAAAAGGUA
rnacentral:rRNA from 1 species